CAGACAUUGUGGUUCAAUGCCGCCAUAUCGCACCCUGGCAUAUAAAUAACCGGUGUGCAACAUGAAGGAACAAGCCCAAAUAAAUCCUUUGGAUAGAAAAAGCAAGCUGAUUUGGGGAAGGCAGCUGCUUCAAAGUUUCUGUGCAACUUUACAGAAGAGCAGGACCUGCCCCAAUGCUUCUAUUAUCCUGAAGGUCACAGGGCUUCAGAUGAGCAAAGCUUUCCAAGUGGAUCUCCUUCUGGAAACACAGACCCAUCCCCAUUCCCAUGGCACUUCCAGAGAACUUGGUCACAGCACCGCCGUCACUUGGAGAAGCUCUUGGUCUGCUGUUCUUACAGUGCCUUGGAUAGUGCGGUCAGAAGGGGCAGGCGAUGGCACCAUGACCCCACUGCAGCCUGCCCAGACAUCCUGUAAUGAGUCUGUCAGUCUGUCCUCAGCCAAGAAAUGCAUCUUCACAUCCUAUGUGACGAAUUUGCUAGAAGGUGAAUGCAAUAUAACCCUUGGCAGAUUCUUCCUGGUAUAAAUGAGGUCUUAUUUUGAGGAAUCAUGAUUAAAUUGAAUCAAGAACAGUCACCUUUCUGAUUAUAAGCUGAAGGUAGUCUCUGAUUUAUUUCUCAUGAUGCAUUUGGUCAUGUUCUGUUGUCUUUGCAAAUCUGUAUUUUUAUCGCAGUGACAUGUUCCUCAGGUUUAGGUUACAUUUCUAAUAAAUAUCCGAUGCCUUGUUGAUUUCCUGUAUCA
rnacentral:lncRNA from 1 species